rnacentral:lncRNA from 1 species
GGAAAUUCCUUUUCCAGAGUUCUCACUUACUAAUUUGGCUAACAUUACCAAUGGUAACAGACCCCACGUAUCCGCCACAAUUGCUGUGAGUUGCAGAGGAAAAAGACUGGGAGGAAAUCUUCACUUUUCUUCUGCAACAGCAACCAACAGAAAUGAAAGAGCCAGGGGAUUUUGCAAAAUAUCAACUCCUGAGAACUAAGAAUGAGAGCCUUUCCUGCCAAGCCCAUUCUGUGCCAGUCAUCAUAAAAUACGAUGACCCUUCCUUCCAGAAGAACAAUGCGCUGUGAUCUUUGGCUACUCAAGCUUUACAUCAUCCAUAUUACCCUGCAGCAGGAACAGAUUGAUGGGUAUUUUCACUGCCCCCAGAGAGUUACCCUCUAAUCCUUCAUUUGCUGCUCCAGCACAAUUGCACGGAAGCAAUAGCAGGGAUAGUUAGAGUGCAUACAAUUGAUUCCAAUCCAUCCAUCACUUAAACUACUGUCUAGGACAUCAGGAGGCCACGAGAACACAAGAGAUCACAGAACAAAGAAGCUCUGCUUUUGUCCACUGAAAGAAGAGAGAUGGACAGCCAGCUGAAGGUAUUAAUACAAUGAGCCACAGGACAGACAGGGUUGCUCCUUCCACCAUGCUCAGGACGGCUCCCAUGUAAGGUACCAGAAUGAGUAGACGCAGAGAAAUGACAUCCUAUUAACAGGGCCCAUCUGCCAGGGAGUAGACAGAACAGAAAAAUCUGAAGAGACCACUAAAGAAAUAGAGCUGCGGGAUUCUAUAGCACAUCCUUGAAUUGUGUUUAUCCAAUCCACAUUUCUCUUCUGCUGGACAUUCAGAGGACUGUUUCUCACUAAUAUCAGAAGUGGCAUCACUAGAGCUGUGGCAAAGGAUCAACAGCUGGGGAGGUGCGAGAGACUGAAGGAAGAUUCAAAGUGCUCCAGGAAGUUUCUUAC